AUGAUGAUUUAGUUAUAAAUGUUUAUGGUUUUUAACUGAUGUCCUAUGAGGAAACUAAACUAGGGCGGUCUGAGAAA